rnacentral:rRNA from 1 species
UACGAGGGGGCAAGCGUUGUUCGGAAUUAUUGGGCGUAAAGGGCGCGUAGGCGGUGCGGUAAGUCACCUGUGAAAACUCUGGGCUCAACUCAGAGCCUGCAGGCGAAACUGCCGUGCUUGAGUGUGGGAGAGGUGCGUGGAAUUCCCAGUGUAGAGGUGAAAUUCGUAGAUAUUGGGAAGAACACCGGUGGCGAAGGCGGCGACCUGGUCCGAUACUGACGCUGAGGCGCGAAAGCGUGGGGAGCAAACAGG